CCAGCUCAGCGGGUAUUCCUACCUGAUCCGAGGUCACAUUCAGAAGUUGGGGUUUUACGGCGUGGCCGCGACGAUUACCAGUAACGAGGUGUAUGAUUACUACGCUAUGGAAGCUCGACGUGACCGCCAAUCGAUUUGGGGAACGCGGGUUACCGCGAGUCCCAACACCAAGCUGAGCUUGAGGGUUGAAAUGACGCUCGAACAGGCAUGCCCGCCAGAAUACUGGCGGGCGCAAUGUGCGUUCAAAGAUUCGAUGAUUCACUGAAUUCUGCAAUUCACAUUACUUAUCGCAUUUUGCUGCGUUCUUCAUCGAUGCCAGAACCAAGAGAUCCGUUGUUGAAAGUUUUGAUUUAUUUGUUUGUUUUACUCAGAAGUUCCACUAAAAACAGAGUUUAGGGGUCCUCGGGCGGGCCGUCCCUUUUUACGGGGCGCGGGCUGAUCCGCCGAGGCAACGUAUAGUAUGUUCACAGGGGUUUGGAAAAA
rnacentral:misc_RNA from 1 species